AUGGAGCACUCCAUGUUCCCUUUUCCAACAGCAAGCACCUCAGAUGGUCAUCGUUGUUUGCCUGGGGGAGUGAUCCAAACCCUUAUUUCUGAAGAGUCUGGGCCACUAUCAGAACCCAUGAAUCCUGGCUAUGGGGGAAGCAGUACCAUAUGCUAGAUGCAAACUUACAGCACAUCCAACCUCCCGGAGGAAAAUGCUUCAGUCCUGGAAGGUAUUGCCAUGUAGCUGGUACCAUCUCUGAAUUUUUA
rnacentral:lncRNA from 1 species